rnacentral:rRNA from 1 species
UACAGAGGGGGCAAGCGUUGUUCGGAAUUACUGGGCGUAAAGGGCGCGUAGGCGGCCUGUUAAGUCUCACGUGAAAUCCCCGGGCUCAACCCGGGAACUGCGUCCGAUACUGGCAGGCUUGAAUCCGGGAGAGGGAUGCGGAAUUCCAGGUGUAGCGGUGAAAUGCGUAGAUAUCUGGAGGAACACCGGUGGCGAAGGCGGCAUCCUGGACCGGCAUUGACGCUGAGGCGCGAAAGCCAGGGGAGCAAACGGG